rnacentral:rRNA from 1 species
UACAGAGGGGGCAAGCGUUGUUCGGAAUUACUGGGCGUAAAGGGCGCGUAGGCGGCCUUCUAAGUCGAACGUGAAAUCCCCGGGCUCAACCCGGGAACUGCGCUUGUAACUGGCAAGCUAGAGUGUGGCAGAGGGGGGUGGAAUUCCAGGUGUAGCAGUGAAAUGCGUAGAGAUCUGGAGGAACACCGAUGGCGAAGGCAGCCCCCUGGGCUAACACUGACGCUCAUGCACGAAAGCGUGGGGAGCAAACAGG